UGUAAUUGUAAUUCAGUGUGUUGUUUUCAGUUGUUGAUGUAUUGAUGUAUUUUUGUACUUGCAGGCGAGUUCUGGGAAUGUGGCAAAAAGUCUGUGGCACAGAGGUAUCUAGCAGGAGGAAGACGAAUGGUAACCCUGAAGAGGCACAUUCUCCUAUAAGAAAAGAAAAGAAAAAUGUCAAGUCCAGUGAUUCUGAGGAUUGUUUUUGGUGGGUAGGAUGAUGCAAGAAAACUUGUACUCAAGAAAGGAAUCCCAAUGUCUGUCGAUGACCUUGUCCAUGACAUAAUCACAGUUUUUGGGGUGAAGCAAAAGUUCAGGCUGCAGUACAAAGAUAAGGACUUUGGAAAUGAAUUGAAGAUGGGGAUACCCUGAAACUGAUUUUUCUAUCAACUGAAGACUCUAAUUCCAGCAUGCAAGAGACUGAGCCUGCUUUACCUUACUGCUCCACCACACCUUCACCCAGUGGAUUUAGUACAGCUACCUGUGAUACUGCUGACGUGAGCAGGGCCAGAUUAACACUUCACUGUACCCUGGGCAACAAUAUUCAAGGGCCCCAUCAUCACGACCCCAGGAUCACCAUAAUCUGGCAAAAUACAGAAUAAAUUACAGUAAUACAGUAAAUAUACUCAAUAUUUCAAUAAUUAACUGUCAUCAAGUGCAUUUUGAUGUACAGAUGUGCAAAUGCUCAUAGAACUACAAAUGCACCACUAUGUUCUCUUGUCAAGGCCACUCACUCAUGAUGUUAUGAAAACAAAACGCAUCGGCAUCAGUAUAAUCUGGCAAAAUUGACCCACUACAUAGAGAGUAAAGGAAGUGUCCUCCAUUUUCACAAAAAAAUAAAUAAGCAACCACUUUCAAAGCAUCCAAUAUUUAUUUAACAACA